UACGGAGGGUGUAAGCGUUGUUCGGAAUCAUUGGGCGUAAAGCGCGUGUAGGCGGCUUGGCAAGUCAGUUGUGAAAGCCCGGGGCCCAACCCCGGAACUGCAUCUGAAACUGCUUGGCUGGAGUCCCGGAGAGGAAGGCAGAAUUCCCGGUGUAGGGGUGAAAUCCGUAGAUAUCAGGAGGAACACCAGCGGCGAAGGCGGCGCUCUGGGCCGGUACUGACACUGAGGAGCGAAAGCGUGGGUAGCAAACAGG
rnacentral:rRNA from 1 species